GCGUUGAUGGGGUAGUGGUAACCUUGGUCGUUGCCAUCUGUCUCGACCAGCCGGGGGUUCGAUUCCCUCUCAACGCA
rnacentral:tRNA from 1 species